rnacentral:rRNA from 1 species
UACGGGGGGGGCAAGCGUUGUUCGGAUUUACUGGGCGUAAAGGGCGCGUAGGCGGCGCGACAAGUCACUUGUGAAAUCUCCGGGCUUAACUCGGAACGGUCAAGUGAAACUGUCAUGCUAGAGUGCAGAAGGGGCAAUCGGAAUUCUUGGUGUAGCGGUGAAAUGCGUAGAUAUCAGGAGGAACACCAAUGGCGAAGGCAGCUCGCUGGGACGUGACUGACGCUGAGACGCGAAAGCGUGGGGAGCAAACAGG